CAUUAGGGACAAAUUUAUAUCCGAAAUGACUAUUUUUCAGUAAAGCUGCUUUGAUUCAAUGUAAUGGGAUAUACAUAAAUAUUAAUAAUAUUCAAAGCUGCCUGGUAGAUGUGUGCAUGCUAUAAGUGACAAACAUGUAUGAAAAACAAUUAUCAAUUAAAAAUUCAAAUGAAUAUCUGCGUUCAAUACAUUAUGUAUUUAUUCAUCGUGUGUUUUGACAUUGCUUUUAUUUUUUCAAUAUUUCUAAACAUAUGUGUGUGCCUUGCAGAUUUAGCCUCUGCUAUAUCUAUGAUUUUAAUAUACUGUGACGAUAUUUUGAUUCACAGAGAUUUUAACUGUUAGACAUUUGUAGGCAUAUUGUGUUACUUGUAACUAGGAGCUCAUUCCAUGACACGGCCACACGGGGGCGCAUGUCGACUGUAGCCCGCUGUGACACCUCACACAAGUUUUAUUGGAGUUAUGGUGGAUGUGCAGAACUUUAUUUACUGGAUUGAAACGAUUUGGGGUGGAUUUGCUCAUUUCCAACACACCAAACAUCAGAGACAGCUGAGCUUGGCUUCUGUGUGAAGCUAGACAUGUCAUGCAGUAAACAAAUAAUUGUCGUAUUUUUGCCUGGAUUUCUCCACAGUGCAAUGUGAUACAACAUAAAUAAAAAAUUGUGACUUGUG